rnacentral:lncRNA from 1 species
AGUUUAUUUAUCACGGCCUCAGUACAUCGCGGAUUGUUCAAAAAUUCAAAAAUGAGGAAUUAUGGCGCAAAAGUUGCCCGUAAGCCAGCAGAAGGCAGGGAGUGCCUACACAAUUCAAAAUCCAUGUCUGAUUGGCUGCUAGCAUCCCGCCAUUUGAUAUCCCUCCUGACUCAGGAAUCUCACAAGCUGAUUGGCCUAGACGCUUCCUCCACCUUUGCUCUCAUACCCAGCAAAGAUGACUGUGCUCAUUCAAAUCAAUGUUUGAGUGAUGCUUAGUCUCAGUGUGCUAAUUUUUGCUGUUC